GUUUUAAUAGUUUAAGUAAAACCCCAGUCUUGUAAACUGGAAUUGAAGGGAUACCUUCUUAAAACA
rnacentral:tRNA from 1 species